GUGAGCUACGCUCUCCUAAGAGCAGCGGCUGGGUCUCCCUGUGGUGAGGCUUCAGAGCCCGGGGUGGGCCCCCCACACCGAUGCCACGCGUACUGCGCUCCGCUUCACUUUUGGCUUUGAGAGGAGAGAUGGCGGCAGGCGUUGGAGGCAGACUGCUGACACGGCCGCUGCAGCUGGAGCUGGAGAGGAGCAAGAAUUUUAGGUACGUUUUUGGCCUCUGCUGAUCUCAGAGUGAAGCUCAUUGCUGUAACAUGCGUGGAACCAGGAGGGUUAAAAAACAGAAAAGAGAAUUACUCCCACAGUCUCCCUUCCUGGACCUCUGUCAAGAGAGAGAGAGAUUUCUCUUGAAAACUUUCCAUCUCUGCUUGCUGCACAGUUCUGGAAUAGUAGCCAUCAUAGAGUCUAAACCUGAAUGUAUGAAACGACAACAAAGAUAUCAUCACCGUGUCUGCCAUUAUUUGGGUUUUGAUUUCCCUUCUACUCCACCUGUCAUUUUUUGUUUUUCAGAGUCUAAACAGAUAGCUGUUUCCUUCUUUCCAGGAUUUUUAGUUGUAAUCCGUGGAAGAUUUAGAACUAGAGUAGUGUUUCCUUUUAGCUAGACCCGAAAAUUAUCCUUCAAUUUUAAAAGUUAUUUUGCUAGGUUUAGCAUUUUAGGUUGACAGUUGUGAAUGCAUGCGCACAUGUGUGCGAGUGUGUUUGUGUGAGUGUGCAUGUGUUUUAGAGUUUUAACAUUGUAAGUUAUCACUUUCUGCCUUCAGGUUUAUGUGGUUUCUGGUGAGAAAUCUGUACUUCAUACCUUUGUUGCUAUCUAUAUAAGCAUCAUUUUCUCUGGCUAUUUCAAGAUUUUGUUUAUAUUUUGUUUUCAGCAAUUUGAAUGUUGUAUGCCACGAUGUUGUUGUUUGUUGGUUUAAAAGAACUUUUAUUUUAGAACAUUUUUAGGUUUACAGGAAAUUGUAAGGAUAGUAUAGUUUCCAUAUAUCAUACACUUAUUUUUCCAUGAUCAAUAAAUUACGUUAAUAUGGUACUUAUGUUACAAUUAAUGAACAAAUAUUAAUACAUUAUCAUUAACUAAGGUUCGUACUUUAU
rnacentral:lncRNA from 1 species